rnacentral:rRNA from 1 species
AUGCGAGCUCUGCUCUCUCGCAUCCCGAUCUCCCCUGCUGCUUUCUUCUCCUCCUCAUCCCAAACCCUAGCCCCCCUCCGCCUCGGCCACCGCUUCGUCGCCAUGGCCGCCGCCGCCGCGGAGGAGUUCGUGAAGGGUCGCGUCUUCCCCAACGGCGUCGCGGUCAUCACCCUCGACCGCCCCAAGGCCCUCAACGCCAUGAACCUCGAAAUGGACCUUAGGUACAAGACAUUUCUUGAUGACUGGGAAACAAAUCCAAACGUGAAGUGCAUUCUUGUGGAAAGCAGUUCUCCGCGUGCCUUCUCAGCUGGGAUGGAUAUUAAGGGCGUUGCAGCGGAAAUUCAAAAGGACAAGAGCACAUCACUUGUGCAAAAGGUCUUCACAGCUGAGUACUCUUUGAUUUGCAAGAUACAUGAGUAUGCAAAACCUUAUAUAUGCUUGAUGGAUGGUGUGACCAUGGGGUUUGGAAUUGGAUUGUCUGGACAUGGGCGCUACCGCAUUAUUACGGAGAGAACACUGCUGGCCAUGCCGGAAAAUGGUAUUGGCUUGUUCCCAGAUGUUGGCUUUGCUUACAUCGGUGCAAAAGCGCCAGGAGGGGGUGCAGUCGGAGCUUACCUUGGGAUGACAGGAAAAAGAAUAUCUUCACCUGCUGAUGCUCUAUUCAUUGGUCUCGGAACCCAUUAUGUACCUUCCGGGGACUUGGGUUCACUCAAGGAAUCCCUCCUGAGUGCUAACUUCACUGCUGAUCCUCACAAAGAUGUUGAGUCACUCCUGACUGGGUACAAGAAGGAGCCUGAGUCGGUGCCCCAAUUAGAAAAGCUUUUACCGGAUAUCGUUUCUUCUUUUGGUCCUGAUAAAUCAGCUACUGAAUCUGUGGAAGAGCUAAAGAAGCGUACUCAAAAUGGUGAUGCCACAGUGUCAGAAUGGGCCAAUGAUGCUUUAGCAGGACUUAAGAAAGGUGCUCCGUUUUCUCUUUGUUUAACACAGAAACAUUUCUCUCGAGUUGCAUCAUCAUAUGGGAACAAUGAAAAUUAUCUAUCUAAGUUGGCUGGUGUUAUGAAAUUGGAGUACCGUAUUGCCUUGAGAUCGUCGGUUCGAAAUGAUUUUGCUGAAGGCGUACGCGCUGUCUUAGUUGACAAGGACCAGAAUCCAAAAUGGAGUCCAGCAACUCUGGAAGAGGUAAACAUGGAUGAGGUCGAAUCAGUGUUUGAACCAUUAGCUGCCGAUGCUGAGUUGAAUGUGUGA